CGCGAAAAUUAUUGUCAACAACUUACUAAAACCAAAAUAAAAACAAAUCGGUACUUCAAAUACCUGUCUUUCAGCGUUCAAAUACUUGAAAAAUACUUUGGAAAAUAAAUUAUGCCAUUCAAUUCGUUCUAAAGGUUCUACUAAAUCUCAAAUAUAACUUUGGAGUAAAGGAGAUAAAAAUCGUGAAAUAAUAUUUCCGUUAUCGCCCACUUAUAUAACGGGAGCAUAAAGAACCUAAACUAUUGGCAGGUGCUCAGCUGUACACUGACUAUGGACAUUGAAUCGUCAGAUGAUGAGGUGCCAGAUUUGGUACCUGCAAGUACAGUUGUUGAAGAAGAAGGAGAGAUCCCAAAUAGCAAGAAAGUACCUGUUACCAUCAUAACUGGUUUCCUUGGAGCUGGGAAAACAACACUGCUGAACUACAUUCUGACAGAACAGCAUGGCAAGAAAAUUGCAGUCAUUCUUAAUGAAUUUGGAGAAGGCACAUCUAUGGAGAAAUCUAUGUCUGUUGGGCAAGAGGGGGAACUGUUUGAGGAAUGGCUUGAGUUGAGGAAUGGCUGCCUAUGCUGCUCUGUUAAGGACAAUGGGGUUCAAGCUAUUGAGAACCUGAUGAAAAAGAAAGGAAAGUUUGACUACAUUCUUUUAGAAACCACAGGCUUGGCAGAUCCAGGACCGAUUGCAUCCAUGUUCUGGAUUGAUGAAGAACUAUGCAGUGACCUUUUCUUAGAUGGUAUAGUCACAGUAGUUGAUGCCAAAUACUGUCUGCAGCACUUAGAAAAAACAACAGAGCCAGGAUCAAUCAAUGAAGCUGUCAAGCAGGUCGCCCUAGCUGAUGUGAUUAUAGUGAACAAGUUAGACAUUGUGACAGUUGAAGAGAAGGAGACCCUUAUACAUGCAGUCAGUGGGAUCAACAGUGCUAGUGCAAUCAUUGAAACCACAAAAUCAAGAGUGGACUUAGGUGCAAUACUUGACUUGAAUGCUUAUACUGGAGACAGUGUGUUGAAUGGUACUGUAGAUGAGAGACGGAAUAGAUUUGUAGAUACAGGGACACACAAUGUAGACAAGAAAAUGUCAACUGUAACAUUGGAAAUCUCAGGGGAGUUGGAUCCUAAAAAACUUGAUGUCUUCUUCCAAAAUCUUCUCUGGGAAAAAGUCUAUGAAGAUAGUAAGGGCAGCUUGAUGUUGAUUCUAAGGAUGAAGGGUGUCCUGAAUAUUGUUGACUCUUCAAAAAGGGUGCUUCUACAGGGUGUCCAUGAACUCUAUGACCAGCAACCAACAACAGAGUGGGAACCAGAGGAAUCAAGGACCAACACAGUAGUAUUUAUAGGCAAGAACCUGGAGAGGGGUGUUCUGCUUGAUGGACUCGAGGGAUGUUUGGCACAACACUGAUGGCCCAGAACAGAAGCAGUUAGCGGGACUUGUUCCAGCUUCCUGGCCCAGUUGAGGAUGAUGGGAAAUCCAGACUCAGGCACUACAAAGGCAUGCCUGUUUAAUGAGGGAAUUCUCUGGAAUUUCCCAUGUUCUUUGGAGUGGCUUGACAGCAGAAUCAAAGUGUUGAUGAGCACAAAACAGCAUGUGUUAGACCUCAAUAAAUAUUGAUUGUACAAAUGGGGCUUUCACCAACCUUCACAUUAACCCUCCAAUCUCUGAAGAGGCGCAUGAGGUAACCUGCUGAAUUAUCAGUGAUUCAUGGGUUAACUUAGCAGAAAAUAGCCAGACUUGGGAUGAAGUACUUUGAGAAAAGCCUGGAAAGUCGAUUAUCAUUUGGAGUGAAGGCAACUCUGCUAAGGUUUAUUGACACUGCCAGGCUUAGUCGAUAAAUUUUAUGGAAUACAAACAAAUGUGUAAAGAAUGAGUGGCAGCUGGAGAAGGCAGUAAACCAGACUGCUUGGCACCAUUCAUUAAUGGCUGCGCUUGUUGAACCCCCUCUAGUGGAGGGUCCUGAUAGACUGCAUGGCUCCAUCUGGGUCAUAGCGUACUUUUAACACUAGACUGCAUGUCUCCCAUUAUGGGUCAUACUGGUACAUUCACUACUUGAGAAUGUGGGUUUCUCUUCCUUAAAUAUAAUGAAAACUGAGCAUUCCUGUUGUAUUUGAGAUACUUUUGGGAAUACUUGGUGGAAAUGUUUUUGAAGACGGUUACAUUUUAUCAUCAUUCUUGUCAGGAAAUCAUUCUUGUCGGAAUGUUUCCAUGUGAUUUUAUUAUGUCACCACCAAAAGUGUUGACAUAUUGGUAUAGUCUCCAACUUUUUUGUGGAUAGUGUUUGGUUGUUGGUGUUCAGCGUUCAGCAGUCAGUGUUCAGCAUCUGCAACAAAUGGCAGGUGAUGACAUUUUGCUCGUUAAUGCCUUGUUAUUUGUUUUUAUGACCUCACCAGCCAGUGAUAUAUAUAAUUGUGAUUUUAUUUU
rnacentral:misc_RNA from 1 species